GGGGAAGGAUGAAAGGGGUGACAGUGAUCGGCAUAUAUUGUACUCAUGAUCUGACAUGGAACUGAAAUUCACCUGUACAGCUACUUAAAGAUAGUAAUAAUUUUUACUGGUUGGGAUGUGUUUCCUCGUGUGUGUGUGUGUGUGUGUGUGUGUGUGUGUGUU